AAAGUUUAAUUGCAUUUAAUAAUAUGAUGUCAUGCAUUCCACAGGCUGUUAAAUGUAACAUUCAUACACAUUAUACAAUAUAAUUUGACUUUCUUUCAAUUUAUAAAUAAAUAUGCAAUAACAAUUCCCAACCGCUAGAUGGCAAUUGUCGCCCUACUGAGACGUGACUACUGGCAACGCGAGACUUGAAAGUUAGUUGAGAUCACUGUCGCAAGAUCCAGCGAUAAUUCCGCCGUUUUGAAUUUUGUUUUUACACGAGAGAACACUACGUUUACCUGUGGGAAAACAACGGGCAAACAACAAACGAUAAAGGACUUUCCUGCUUGGACUUGGUGUGCAGAAUUGAAUGAAGAAAUCUCAAAGACAGUGCCAGAAGGAUGCUGGAAAGAUGCAGUGAUGACCAACUUGUACUUGAGUUGUACUUGAGGAAUGCAGUUGGGAAACAUUUUAUACAAGG